CCGGUGGUGCGCGUGACGUCAGCGCGUCGGGACCGUGGAGGAAAAGAGAGGCGGGAAAACUGGAGAGUGAAGAAAUUAUGGAGGAGCCAGUGACUGUGCUGAGGAACUGGGUGUUGAAGAUGGGUCGUCCCACCCGGGAUUUGCCGUCGGAUGCUGCUCUCCGCAAUGGAAGCAAACAUACAAAGACUAAGCAAGCUCAAUAAAAAGCUGAGAAAUGAAGCUAAGGAGGAGGAAAAGCAAUCAGAAGCUGAAGAUAAAAGAUGAGACGACGAAGUAAAGAUGGUGCAUCUGAAAAAUCCAUCACUUCUAUAAUCAAGAUAAGAAAAAUUCCUCAGAUAAAAUAGAUGGUUGCACAAUUACAUCACCUGGGUAACGUGCUAAUACUUAGCCAAUGAAAAAUGAGAAAGGUGAUAAACCGUUAGUUUAUCUGCUAUAUCGCUUUCUGCCAGUGAGUGUGGAUGAACCACCAUAU